AAAUGCUUGAACAAAAAUUCUCAAGUAAAAAGGUCGGACGAAUGAGUUUAAAUAUCAAAUCUGUAUAGAGGGAAAAAGUGCACGAGUUCUCUUGCUUAAGAAAGCUUAAAUUUUAUCUUAUUUAUGUACAAAAAUGUGGAAUGCACUAACGGUCAAAGGAUGCCUUUGAGCUACACAAAUUAUGUAUGUACUUACCAAAAAAAACUAUUUUCAGACUCAGAGUUUAUUGAUGAUAUCAAUGUUGAGAUUUUGUUAUGUGAUCAGUAUAUUUGUAUUGGCCCUGAUUUAGGUAGUUUUGCUUUCUCUGCAUUACAAGUUUACAACUGCUUAGCAUGUAGAACUCCUUGCUAUGUCAGUUUUGCAGAAUUAGAGCUACUUGCUAUGCUUAGAUUGAAGUUAGUAUCCCUCGGUCCAAAGCUAACUACUCCUCUCAACUCUAAUCCAAUUGCCAAUAUUUUCCCUCCAAAUUCCCUCUCUUCAGAAGCAAACCAAGAACAAUUUCUUUCAGUUUUACUUAAAAACCCUGUAAGAAACAUAGCUCUUCAAAUCCAUUCUAACUUACUAACAACUGGGUUUACUCAAAGUUAUUAUCUGCUCCAACAAGGGGUAUACCCACUAGGGUAAAGAGGAAAAUGUACUUUGCUCCAACAAGGGGUAUACCCACUAGGGUAAAGAGGAAAAUGUACUUUUCUUAGUUGUGCUUCAUUCGGUCUCCAUGGAGAAAGGGCAUCUGAGUUCUCAAGAAAUCAGAUGCAAGACACUGAAGUAGUGGCCAUGGACCUAAUGAAGGAACAGUCAAAUAUUCGAGUUCUAUUAGAAAAAUCUAUCAGCUACUGUCAGCCUGUUCAAUAUCUCAGGUAUAUGGAUUCAGUCCUAAUAUUUCUUUUAGGGGUUCUUUGCACUUGCUGGUAUCUUUGAAUCCCAUUGAUGAUCACUUGCGCAGGACACAGCUUGAAAACAGUUUUGUGCAUUGACUCAGUUGAAAGAUCUAUUAAAGGAUAUUUUGGCAGUACAACAUUAGCUGAUGUGUUAUCCAUUUUCUAAGAUUUAUAGGUGUAUCUAAUUGCAGGUACAAGAAGCUUGCUUUAAGGCUCUAAAAGCAGAAGAAUUGGCGAAAAGCCACUUAAGGCACAUGAACGGAGAACAUGUACAGUUCAUUGUAGAACCUGGGUAUGUCUCUAGCUCGCAUUCUUGGUUACCACUCUGUUUCCUCAACAUUCAUGGUUUUAGACUUUCAUAGCUCAUUAACAAAACUACCUUUUCUGAAUCAUAUGGCAUACUUUUACACUCAAGUCCAGACGUCCAGUAACCAUAACAACAAAGGCA
rnacentral:lncRNA from 1 species